rnacentral:rRNA from 1 species
UACGUAGGGUGCAAGCGUUAAUCGGAAUUACUGGGCGUAAAGCGUGCGCAGGCGGUUCGUCAAGUCUGAUGUGAAAGCCCCGGGCUCAACCUGGGAAUGGCAUUGGAAACUAGCGGGCUUGAGUGUGGCAGAGGGGGGUGGAAUUCCACGUGUAGCAGUGAAAUGCGUAGAGAUGUGGAGGAACACCGAUGGCGAAGGCAGCCCCCUGGGCUAACACUGACGCUCAUGCACGAAAGCGUGGGGAGCAAACAGG